rnacentral:rRNA from 1 species
GACGAACGCUGGCGGCGUGCUUAACACAUGCAAGUCGAACGGAAAGGCCUCAGCUUGCUGGGGUACUCGAGUGGCGAACGGGUGAGUAACACGUGGGUGAUCUGCCUUGCACUCUGGGAUAAGCUUGGGAAACUGGGUCUAAUACCGGAUAUGAACUGCCUUUAGUGUGGUGGUUGGAAAGUUUUUUCGGUGCAAGAUGAGCUCGCGGCCUAUCAGCUUGUUGGUGGGGUAAUGGCCUACCAAGGCGUCGACGGGUAGCCGGCCUGAGAGGGUGUACGGCCACAUUGGGUCUGAGAUACGGCCCAGACUCCUACGGGAGGCAGCAGUGGGGAAUAUUGCACAAUGGGCGGAAGCCUGAUGCAGCGACGCCGCGUGGGGGAUGACGGCCUUCGGGUUGUAAACUCCUUUCGACAGGGACGAAGCUUUUUGUGACGGUACCUGUAUAAGAAGCACCGGCUAACUACGUG